rnacentral:lncRNA from 1 species
GUUUUAACAGGCACAUAGCUUCUCAGCUACAGAUUACAUUUUCAACUUCCUUAGCAGCAGCGUAUUGUCAUGAUAGUAAUUCAGUCCAAUGAGGUACGAGAAGAUGUGAAAUGUGAAACAUCUUAAAGAUAAGGAAAGGUCAUCUGAGGAUAGCAAGAAGGCAGCCAUCUGAAAACCAAGGAGAGAGACAUCACCAGAAACCAAUCCUGCUGUUACCUCAAUCUAGGAAUUCCAGUCUCCAGAACUGCGAGAAGAUAGAUGUCUGUUGUUUGAAGCACUCAAUCUGUGGUAUUUUUUAAUGGCAGAAAGAGGCACCAACCAAUGAAAAUACUAAAGGAGUGAUAUCACCAAGAUGGAGACAUACGUCAUUACUGACGUUGCAACCCCACAGCAAGAAGAAGAACUAACAACCACUCAUGGACAACAAACCACUGAGAAAAUUCCAGGACACAGAGGUAUGUUAUGAACCAUUCACCACAGAAAUAUCACUGCUGAGAGGAAGCGUAUAAGGACCAGGGUUCAGGUGACUGACAUUCUCCUCCUACCAGCACAUUGGCUUCAGGGGGACGUCAUGGCUGAAGAAACCCUUCUUGGACCUGAGCUCUGCUGGAUGGGGGCAUGGAGUGACUCAGUUAAGUAAGAUCGUGCAGGUUACUGGACUUCAACAUUUACAUCAUCCAGCCUUUCAUGGAGUUUGCCGUGAAUGACUGUCACAAGAAGGGAGGCGGCCAUCUAGUAAAAUAAAAAAGAGCAAUAAGACGCAGACUUCAGGGCUUACAAUUUUACUUAUUACUGAACCUGUUUGAUAUUUAAGAGAAGAUUUUUAUUAAUAUUAGAAAAAUAUUGUAUAAAUAUGGCAAAUUAAACAGAAAAACAUAAUAUUUACUGAUUUUGUGCAAAAUUAUAUGACUCGUGUCUUGAAA